rnacentral:rRNA from 1 species
UACGGGGGGGGCAAGCGUUGUUCGGAAUUACUGGGCGUAAAGGGCUCGUAGGCGGCCAACUAAGUCAGACGUGAAACCCCUCGGCUUAACCGGGGAACUGCGUCUGAUACUGGAUGGCUCGAGUUUGGGAGAGGGAUGCGGAAUUCCAGGUGUAGCGGUGAAAUGCGUAGAUAUCUGGAGGAACACCGGUGGCGAAGGCGGCAUCCUGGACCAACACUGACGCUGAUGAGCGAAAGCCAGGGGAGCAAACGGG